ACCGUUACACGUACACGGACCCGUGAACGGGCGGUACGUGGACACGCACGUACACGGACACGUGAACGGGUACGAGAGGUA
rnacentral:misc_RNA from 1 species